rnacentral:rRNA from 1 species
ACGGAGGGUGCAAGCGUUAAUCGGAAUUACUGGGCGUAAAGCGCACGCAGGCGGUUUGUUAAGUCAGAUGUGAAAUCCCCGGGCUCAACCUGGGAACUGCAUCUGAUACUGGCAAGCUUGAGUCUCGUAGAGGGGGGUAGAAUUCCAGGUGUGGCGCCGAAAUGCGGAGAGAUCGGGAGGAAGACCGGAGGCGAGGGCGGCCACCUGGACGAAAACUGCCUCUCGGCUUCGAAACCGUGUAAAGCAAACAU